rnacentral:rRNA from 1 species
GAUGAACGCUGGCGGCGUGCUUAAUACAUGCAAGUCGAGCGAACGGACGAGAAGCUUGCUUCUCUGAUGUUAGCGGCGGACGGGUGAGUAACACGUGGAUAACCUACCUAUAAGACUGGGAUAACUUCGGGAAACCGGAGCUAAUACCGGAUAAUAUUUUGAACCGCAUGGUUCAAAAGUGAAAGACGGUCUUGCUGUCACUUAUAGAUGGAUCCGCGCUGCAUUAGCUAGUUGGUAAGGUAACGGCUUACCAAGGCAACGAUGCAUAGCCGACCUGAGAGGGUGAUCGGCCACACUGGAACUGAGACACGGUCCAGACUCCUACGGGAGGCAGCAGUAGGGAAUCUUCCGCAAGGGGCGAAAGCCUGACGGAGCAACGCCGCGUGAGUGAUGAAGGUCUUCGGAUCGUAAAACUCUGUUAUUAGGGAAGAACAUAUGUGUAAGUAACAGUGCACAUCUGGACGGUACCUAAUCAGAAAGCCACGGCUAACUACGU